GUUGUAUGGUUAAGUGACUAAGCGUACACGGUGGAUGCCUUGGCAGUCAGAGGCGAUGAAAGGCGUAAUAACUUGCGAUAAGCCCAGAUUAGGUAGUAAUAACCUUUUGAGUCUGGGAUUCCUGAAUGGGGAAACCCACUUGCAUAAGCAAGUAUCCUGUUGUGAAUACAUAGCAACAGGAGGCAAACCGGGGGAACU
rnacentral:rRNA from 1 species